rnacentral:lncRNA from 1 species
GAGACUGGAUCCCAUACCUACCUCUUCUAAUAAGUCCAUACCUCCUAAUUCUUCCCAAAAACUUCCACUAACUGGGGAUCAAACAUCAUCCAAACAUUAAACAUAUGAGCCUUUGGGCCCAUUAUCCUUCAAACUACUGUAAUGCCAGGGAAUGACAACUGAGGUUUUUCUCUGCCUUCACAAACACAACACACACACACACACACACACACACACACACACACACACACACACACACACUGUGGACCUGCACACCAUACACACUCCAUUUUUUUAAAGGUUUAUAUAUUUCUAUGAGUGAGUACCCUGUAGCUGUCAUCAGACACACGCAUCAGAUCCCAUUACAGAUGGUUGUGAACCACCAUGUGGGUGCUGGGAAUUGAACUCAGGACCUCUAGAAGAACAACCAGUGCUCUUAACCGCUAAGCCAGCUCUCCAGCCCCACCAAUCCAUUUUAUUUCUCCUUUCCCUCUCCCUUCCAGUCCCUUUGCCCUUCUUGUCUUCUCAUGUGUGGGGGCUUUAGCUGCCUACCCAUGUAACACUAUGCAUUUAAAUUUGAGUUAUUAGAAAUCAUUUUGUUCUUAGCAAACUAAGAGAAAUGCUUGAAAUUUCUGAUCUCUGAACAUUCCAAAUAUUAACUAGAAUAAAAAGGAUGCUAAGAAAGUGUUUUAUGUCUUUCACUAAUGGCAACUUUAACAGGUUGUUUUAAUUAAUUAGCUCAUUGAUUUUCUUAAUUAAUUAACUUAAUGUACAAUUUACUGACUUUAACAUGUUUUCCAUGUCUUUUCCUUUCUCCCACAUUUCUUCAACUCUAUAUUUCCCCCUCUGUAGGCCACUGAAAAUCAUUCUUUAAAAUACCUGAUGUGUAUAAUAAUAUUAUUUACAUAGUUAUCAUGGUAAUGCUCACUAAUAAACCAACAGUUAUUGUCUUUUUACUAUCUAUGCAUCUGGCUGAGAAUUCUCCUCAAUCCUUCAAACCAGUAUUCAAUGGGUACCUCUGUUAUCUUGACAACAAACAACAACAACAACAACAACAAAAACAAAACAAUGUAGCUAAGUACUCUCUUUUAAUCUCAGAGUUCAAGAAGCAGAGAGACAAGGUGGAUCUCUGUGAGGGCAAAGCUAGUCUUGUCUACACAGUGAGUUCCAGACGAGUUAGGGUUACAUAGCAAAACACUGUCUCAAAUAAAACGUUGAGCUUGGGGCACUCAAUGCUGACUGCUGUAUCCAGUGCCAUCAGGCUCCUGUGUAGAACUGGUGCUGAAUCUAGAUGGCCUAGUCUCAGACUCCAGGGACGGCUUGUUCAGUGCUACUUUUAGCAGACCAAACCUGGUUUCAACUUAAGAGACUCUCAGAGGCUCCAAAGGCAGGCGGUUAACCUUCAUUGUCAACUGAUGUUGCUUUGGAAUCAUAAAUUUAGGCAUUUAUAGAGAGGGCUAACUGAGGAGGGCAGAUCUACUUGAAUGUGGGUAACAUCAUCCCAUGAGCUGUGGUUCCUGUCUGAGUAAAAGGACCCGGCAAGUGAUCCAAACAUCAGCGUUCAUCUCGUCUUUCGGACUGUGGAUGCGAUGUAACUAGACACUUGUCCUCCAGGGACCACAGCGUGCCAUGCCGUCCCUGCCGUGAGGACGUAGGCUCUCAAACUGUGAGCAAGAACAAAUCUUUCUUUCCUUAAACUGCUGCUGUCCAGGCACUUUGCCAUAGCAAUGAAAGGUAACUGAUGCACAUGCGCAAAUAUCCCUUUCUUUCAGCACUGUAUCCAAGCUCUCCUGAGUCUAACUUUGCUUCACCCCCAUUGAGGAUCAGUGAAUUUGGCUAUGCAUGUUUUGUGUAUACAAUUCUGUUUCUGUGAGAAAAGCUGGUCUUAGGUGUGGAGAAUGGAGAGUAGUGCCACUGUUUUUAUGGAUGAAUUUUUUUUUUUUUAAGCAAUUGCUUACUGGAAGCUGUUAUAUUAGCCACUAUCGAUGGGUACAGUAAACACGAUGAAAAAUAUCAAUUCACAUUAAUCAUGGACCUUCCGGUGGUCUUAGAAGUCAAAUGCAUUCAGUGGGUGACACAAACUCAUCGACCCUUGAAGAGCUCCAUUAAAGAUGAACUCCCAAACAGCUCUCCUCUGAGGUUUCAUGGAAAUACUUGGAAAUGAGCUUCAGGCCUCAGUCUAACCAGGAGAUUUUGAACAUUUAUUUUUUAAAAACGGCAAGGCUGCUGAAGGAACUAUAUGCUUAUAAUAAAGCAGAAUUUCCUAAGACUAAUUCCACACAGUUUGUAGUAAGACAACUGAAAUUUGAAUGCUUUUCCUCACUAUUGGUGAGGCAUUUUAAAGAGAAUAAAAGUUGAUGGUCUGUGUUUCCUCUGUCCACUCUUUUUACUAAUCCAUAGCCCUUAUGAAGCAAAUGCUUUAAAAAGCAUUGUGAACAAUCACUAGAGAAGUAUGGUUAGAAUUAUGUACAUAUUGGAAUAUAAAGUUAUCUUGCCAAGGGUCAGC